AACAACCCUGAACGGUGGAUCACUCGGCUCGUGGGUCGAUGAAGAACGCAGCAAAUUGCGCGUCGACAUGUGAACUGCAGGAUACAUGAACAUCGACAUUUCGAACGCACAUUGCGGUCCGUGGAUUCCGUUCCCGGACCACGCCUGGCUGAGGGUC
rnacentral:rRNA from 1 species